ACCAAAGCAGCAUCUUUUCUUUCAUUUACGACAUUUGUGAUUCUUAAGUCUCUUCGGAAUUUCAAUCCUUAUAUUGGGUUAUAUUGGCAAUCUUACUUCAGGAAUUUAGGCAGAAAUGCAGUUUCCCUCCAUCAUGGUUGGACACUCCCAGCUGCAGGAUAAUAAAGCAAAGCAGGAAGAUGGAAUAUGGCUGGGGUUGGUGGAGUGAAAGAUACAGAAAAGAGAAGUAAGAGAGUAAAAGGCAAGAAAGAUACCCAUAGACCUGAGAGAAAUGGGAAUAAGUUCUGUACAUCAUCUCUGGUCAGUUCCAGAUACAGCUGUGGCAACUCUCUCUCAUGAUCUAGUGGGCUCCUGUUCCUUGGAUAUGCUCAGCACCCAGCUCUCUUCAAAGGGCUCUCUACGUGUACCCAUCUAUGUGCCAUGGAGUCAAGAUGCACAGGAUCUGGGCUGACCUAGGCUUGCAAACAGGAAAGCUAAUCAAGUCAUUGCCCCAAGGGAGUCCAAAGAGCAUGUAAGUCAUUUGCCCCAAGCCCCCAGCUCUGGUUGCCCUUCAACAGAAUGGCUGAAUCAAUUAGCCUAAUUAAAUGAGGUGGAAAAUUACUCCUGCAAAUAAGUUGCCAUGAAAGGCAAGUCUUAAUUUGGCCUAAGGGAAAGCAAACAGUUCGCCCCUGUGUCUUGCCAGAGAGUCUAUGAAUGGGGAAUAAUUGGCAAUUUAUGUGUGUGUGUGUGUUUAAGGCCAUGGUACGAAUAUGUUUUUGUUGACAAGCAGCUGAGGCUUUCCCUGGUAUAAAGAGGGUUCUAAUUAAAGGAUAGUCUAAUUGUGUAUGUUGGCUGAAAUGCUGCAUGUGUACUCUGGCUGCACACAUGGGGCCUGGGACCCGACCCACUGCGGGGAGCUGGGGCUGGGGCCAACAUUGACCCCAGGAAGCAAGACCUCACAUCAGCCCAAUCAGCCUCUGCUUCCUUCUUGAGGGACAUUUCCCAGCUCAGCACACCAUGCAGAGAGAGUCCGAGGAUUCUACUGAAAGCAUCCUAGAAAGAUAAGCUAUGGAAUUGGAAAGUAAAAUUAAAAAGGGUGCCUUCUUGGCUCAGACGGUAAAGCAUUUGCCUACAAUGCGGGGGACCUGGGUUCGAUCUCUGGGUCGGGAAGAUCCCCUGGAGUAGGAAAUGGCAACCCACUUCAGUACUCUUGCCUGGAAAAUCCCAUGGAUAGAGGAGCCUGGUAGGCUACAGGCCAUGGGGUCACAAACAGUUGGACUUGACUGAGCAACUUCACUUUCACUUUCAUCCCAUGGAAUCCCAUUAAGAAUGAUGCUGGAGAAGUGUUAUUUCUGAGUAUAUUGAAAUUAUAAGGAAAUUAUAAGGAAAAACAAACAAACAAAACAGCUGCAUGAUGAUCUAUGUCAGUGUGGAUGUAGCCAUCCGGCUCAUCCAUCCACAACCCAGCACCCAACCUCUGGGAUCAUCCCAGCACAGCUCCCUCACCUGCCCCCACCCUCUGCACGGGAGACUCCGAGACCUCUGCGUAGCUCAGGGGCUGUAGGUCCUUGGGAUCCUCAGAAAGGGGUAUCUACAAACACAGCCUAGCUCUCUUUUGCCCAUAUUGGCCCUCUUGGGCACUGUAACUUUGAUAUUCUUUUCUAGGGUGGAGGAAGGGGGGGAGAAAAAGAAAGCAAAAUGUCUUUUUUGGAUGUCUUUCUCAAAGAUCUCUUCCCCAACAGAGAAGAAGUCUUGAAAGGAAGAAGGAU
rnacentral:lncRNA from 1 species